rnacentral:rRNA from 1 species
GCGCAGCAGGCGAGAAAAACUUUACAAUGUGCGAAAAGCACGAUAAGGGAACUCUGAGUGCCUCCUAAGGAGGCCGUUCAGGUGUCUAAAAAGCACCUGAAGGAAGGGCUGGGUAAGACCGGUGCCAGCCGCCGUGGUAACACCGGCAGCCCAAGUGGUAGCCACGUUUAUUGGGUCUAAAGCGUCCGUAGCCGGCUGGGUAAGUUCCUUGGGAAAUUUGGCUGCUUAACAGUCAAGCUUUCAGGGAAUACUGCCCGGCUUGGGACCGGGAGAGGUCAGAGGUACUCCAGGGGUAGGGGUGAAAUCCAUUAAUCCGUUGGGGGACCACCGGUAGCGAAGGCGUCUGACCAGACCGGGUCCGACGGUGAGGGACGAAGGCGUAGGGGCGCGAACC